GAUGAACGCUAGCGGCAGGCCUAACACAUGCAAGUCGAGGGGCAUCGCGGUGCAGCAAUGCACUGGCGGCGACCGGCGUACGGGUGCGUAACGCGUAUGCAACCUGCCCCGCACCGGGGGAUAGCCCGCCGAAAGGCGGAUUAAUACCCCAUGGUCCCGGGGGCCCGCAUGGGCAUCCGGGUAAAGCCUUGGCGGUGCGGGAUGGGCAUGCGUGCCAUUAGCUGGCUGGUGGGGUAACGGCCCACCAGGGCAACGAUGGCUAGGGGGUCUGAGAGGAUGGUCCCCCACACUGGUACUGAGACACGGACCAGACUCCUACGGGAGGCAGCAGUGAGGAAUAUUGGUCAAUGGGCGGAAGCCUGAACCAGCCAUGCCGCGUGCGGGAUGAAGGCCCUACGGGUUGUAAACCGCUUUUCCCCGGGAAGAAUAACCCCGAUGAGUCGGGGGAUGCCGGUACCGGGGAAUAAGGAUCGGCUAACUCCGUGCCAGCAGCCGCGGUAACUAGUCUACG
rnacentral:rRNA from 1 species